CGGGUGAGUAACGCGUGGAAAACCUGCCGUAUACUGGGGGAUAACACUUAGAAAUAGGUGCUAAUACCGCAUAAGCGCACAGCUUCGCAUGAAGUGGUGUGAAAAACUCUGGUGGUAUACGAUGGUUCCGCGUCUGAUUAGCUUGUUGGUGGGGUAAUGGCUCACCAAGGCGACGAUCAGUAGCCGGCCUGAGAGGGCGGACGGCCACACUGGGACUGAGACACGGCCCAGACUCCUACGGAAGGCAGCAG
rnacentral:rRNA from 1 species